AUUGACCGCUGGCGGCAGGCCUAACACAUGCAAGUCGAGCGAGCGGCGGACGGGUGAGCAAUGCCUGGGAAUUGCCCAGUCGAGGGGGAUAACAGUUGGAAACGACUGCUAAUACCGCAUACGAUUGGAUUGCCCAGGUGGGAUUAGCUAGUUGGUGAAGGCAUGGCUCACCAAGGCGACGAUCCCUAGCUGGUCUGAGAGGAUGAUCAGACACACUGGAACUGAGAGACGGUCCAGACUCCUCCGGGAGGCAGCAGUAGGGAAUCUUGUAGAAUGGGGGCAUCACCGCUGCAGCCAUGCCGCGUGUGUGCAGCAGGCCUUCGGGUUGUCAAGCACUUUCAGAGCGGAGGCCUAACUCGCAGAAGAAGCCCCGGCUAACUCCGUGCCAGCAGCCGCGGUAAUUC
rnacentral:rRNA from 1 species